AUGAAGAAACAAACUGAUGGACUGAGCAUAAUACCUAGGGCUACGUACCUUGUUGUAAUUGAUGAUAUAUGGGAUGGAAACUUGUGGACAGUUAUAAACUUGGCAUUCUCCAAUGACAACACUUUGGGUAGUCGGCUAAUCACGACAACUCGUAAAGUCGGUGUAGCUGAAUUAUGUUGCACAUCUCCUAAUGGUUCAAUCUAUCAAAUGAAACCUCUUAGUGUUGAUGAUUCCAAACAUCUCUUCUAUAGAAGGUUAUUUUCUCAUGAGAGUGGAUGUCCUCUUGAAUUUGAAGAAGUCUCCAUGGAUAUAUUGAAGAAAUGUGGUGGAGUACCAUUGGCAAUUAUUACUAUAGCUAGUUCUUUGUCUAGUGGCCAGCAGGUAAAGCCAAAGGUUGAGUGGCAUGCUCUGCUAGAGUCUAUUGGUCGUGGACUUACUGAAGACCCCAGUGUAGAGGAGAUGUUGAGGAUACUAUCGUUUAGCUACUAUGACCUGCCUUCUUAUCUGAAGACAUGUUUAUUAUAUCUAAGUAUGUUUCCAGAGGAUCACGAGAUCAUGAAAGAUCAGUUGAUAUGGAUGUGGAUUGCCGAGAGUUUUAUCCAAUGUGAAACAACACAUAGUCUCUUUGAGAUUGGAGAAAAUUACUUCAAUGAGCUUGUGAAUAGAAGCCUUCUCCAGCCGGUAUACGAUGAAUCUGGCAUUGUACAUGCUUGUCAUGUACACGAUAGUGUACUGGAUCUAAUUUGUCUGUUGUCAAGGGAAGAGAACUUUGUUAGUGUAUUGAGUGGUAGUAUGUCAUCUCAGGCCAACGUCCGCAGGUUGUCCAUCCAGAAGAUUAACAAAGAAGAAGAUCAAACCACAGCUCUCGAAUCUGUGAGUAUGCUACAAGUUAGGUCCAUUGCGACAUUUGAACCUGCUAUUGGUCUGAUGCCUCGUCUCUCAAGCUUUGUUGUUUUACGUGUAUUGAAUUUGAGUACAUGUGCACUUGGUGAUCAUAAUCUUCAGGGGUUAUGGAGUUUAGUUCACUUGAGGUACCUAGGCCUAUUUGAUACAGGACUUUGUGAGCUUCCGGAAGAGGCUGGAAAGUUGCAGUUUUUGCAAGUGCUGGAUGUGAGUGGAAACCAUGGUAUGAAAAAACUGCCAUCGAGUGUUACUACACUGAGAAGAUUGAUGUGCCUACUUUAUAGGAAAAACUGCAAUCGGCUUCCAGAUGGGAUUGGAAACCUGACAGCAAUGGAAGAGUUGAGUUCUAUCCAUAUUGACUCUCUAAGCAUUGUGAAAGAGAUGGGCAACAUGAAAAGGUUGAGGAAGUUUAAAAUUUUGUUUGAGCAUUUGAGCUUGGAGUUGGAGGAAGCUUUUGUGAAAUCACUAGGGGAAAUGUCUAACGUCCAAAGUGUAACCAUUAUUAUCGGUGCUGGAUUUAGAAUGAUGGAUCUCUUGGGGGAAAAGUGGGUUCCCCCUCAAGGUCUCCGGGAAUUGAAGUCACGUUGUGACAGAGUAUGUAGAUUCUCUAGGCUACCAGCAUGGAUAAGAGAGAACCCCUUGCAGAUGUCCCAGCUCUCAAGGUUACACAUUGGUUUCAAGGAAGUGCAACAGGUGGAUCUGGGACUGCUUGGAAGGUUGCCAGCACUUCAUAGUCUCGUAUUGCAGAGCCUCCGCCAUGGGUCGCUACUGGUCGAAGCUGAUGGGUUCCGUUGUCUAACACAAUUCGUCUUGGGGGCCGAUUCGCCGGGCCAAGUUGUGUUCCAGCCAGGAGCUUUGCCCAAGGCGGAAUAUGUUGAGCUCCGUACCGGUCUGUUGGUCGCAAAAGAGGAAGCAGCCGGCAACAAUGGUGGUGAUUGGUUUGACACUGGCAUCAGGAACCUGCCGUCCCUUCAGUCGGCUGUCAUUAUUUACCCGAGACUUGCGUGCGUCUGGAAUAUGGCUGACGGCAACAUCGAUCGGCGACACUCGCUAUUCCUUGAGCUUCUUUCUUGGGGGUGUGGGAGGUGGGGGAACUCCGCCUAUGCUUAUACGAGAGAGAAAUUGCAGAGGAAAAACAUAGCAGUGCAGAGCAGAGAGGAGACGGUUGUAGACUUGCAAGCCGUCUUUGGCCGCAUUGCCUGGCACACCGAGAGAAACGAUAACAACACCUCGAUGGCGUCUGCCAUGGCCGCCGCCUACGACCGUAUGCUGGAGGCCUCCUUCUCCGACGUCCACGGUGACCUACCGGACGGCUACGGAACCCUUCAUUGCGGAGAGACCUUUGUCAGAGAUGAGUACCCUUCAUUGUACAAAGGGACGCUUGACAGAUAUUACAUCAAACAUUACUACUCCAUCGGGCUAGAUGUGAAAACUGCUAUCUCAGGUUUCCGGUUGUGGAUUGUGAAGGAGAGUUUGGGUACUGUAAAAUGGCAGUACAAGUACCAGAAUAUUGAAUGCAGACCUAAAUGGUACUACAGGAGUGCACUAGUUUGGUGUCCUGGUGCAUCUUACUAUAUUAGAACAACUAGACCUGAAAAAUCCUCAUGGAAUCUGAUACUGAUCCGAAAACAGCAAGCCCACACGUACUACAGUAACCUGAACCCUGAACCAUCUACAGUUCAUCUUCAGACUGCACUCACCACUCAAUCUGCUCAUCAGGAGGCAGCAAAUCAAAUCAUUUCCAUGGCGUGCGUGCACUCACACUUCAUACAGUACAAAACGAUCAGAAAAAGUAGCUGUUCCAUCCCUUGCGUGGAGUGCUGCUACGUCCAUGCAUGGCCUUUGGCAUUUCCAUCUAGAAACGCCAUUGUAGCAACCUGUGCAGCAGGCAUGCAUGUCCACCAGUCUAUAGCCUUGCAUGCAAGAAGUAGAUUGUGGUGCAACACAUUGUUAGCAGCCCUUCCAAGCAUGCAUGUCCACCAGCCUAUAGCUAGCUUGCAAGAAGUAGAUUGUGGUGCAGCGCAUCGUUAG
rnacentral:rRNA from 1 species